rnacentral:tRNA from 1 species
UUUUAGAAUAAGAUAAUCCUUAUUUAUUUUGCAGAUCUAAUAGAAUCCAUAUAUUCUUUAGUUGAAAGUAUA